rfam:Schistosoma haematobium scaffold1309_2, whole genome shotgun sequence.
AUCCAACUGACGAGUCCCAAAUAGGUCGGAACGCACGUCAUAGAU